AAAAAAAUUUAAAUCAUGUGCAAUUUAAAAGAUGGUUCCUCACUUACUUCAGCCACAUGUCAAUUCCCAAGUAGCUGCCUCAAGGGACAGUGCAGACCUGAACACACCCACCAUCACAGAGAGUUCCCCUGGACAGUGCUCCUGUGGAGCUGACAGCCUGCUAAAGGCCCAUCCAUGGUAGAAAGUGUUUCUGUUCUCAUUGUAGACACCAGGAAAGAUUUGGUGUUUAGUGAAGUAAAGACUAUUUUGGUUGGUCUUCUUACCAACUAAAGGCAAAAGGCUGUAAGAGGUUGCUGUAGACUCUAUAAGUCAGAGAACAUUUAAGAAAGGAAAGAGUGACAUCCAUUUGCAUUCAAUUCUCCCUUUUGGGUGGCUGAACUUUUAAAAAGCCAACAGCCAGUUGACAGCUAUUGGACGGCCCUCUCUCAAGGACUGUUCUAUGAGCCCUUGUCGGGCCCUCUGUUCCUUCUGGCCUGCACCUCCCCAGUCCCCAGGCAGCCUGGCUGCCAAAAAGGCUGGCAGUGCCCAAGUGUGAUACCUGGUAGGUGCGUUUCCUCUCUGCGUGCACCCUCUUGGUGCUCCCUGAGUAUUGUUUGCAUCCAUCUGCUCCUCUCACUCUUCCAUGCUGCAUAGUUAGGUGUUGUUUUGUCCCCUGGAGGAAGCCCAUAUUGUUCUAUUCCUACCACAGAAGAAAAAAUCAGGAACAAGGAAAAAUAUGGAAUGCAAGCCAGUGUUUCCAGGUCAUCAACACGCACACAAAUGUGUGUGAAAAUCAGUGUUAAUUUACUGCAAGAUUCAGUGUUUGCACAACUCUUAAGUCAUUUCCCGUAGGCUGCCCAACAGCCAUCACAUGGUAAUGAAUUCCUGUUAUAGCCCAUGUAUGAUGGCUAAAUCAGCCAACUAAUGAUCAAAGAAGAGAACAAAAUAAUAACAACAGUGAUAAGAAUAACAGUAGUGUAAUGAUUGAUUUUACCAGGCACUUGCAACUGGGGUCUAUGGGGCAAUAUAACAUGGGGCAGUUAUAACUGAUUUUCUCACUUUAACAUUUGUGGUUUCUACUGCCUUCAUUUAAAAAAUAAUAAAAACCCUAAGCUAUGAAAAUAGACCCAGACUAACAAUUAAACCAGAAACAAGUUGAAUGGAUAAUAGGUUAUGCUUUUGCCUUUUUUUUUUUUCAUUUUAAGUUUUAGAAGCCCUUAAAAAUGUCUUUGGACUGUGGUAAAGUACUUGUUAACAAAAUCAGAAAGAAUCCUAAUUUUUGGAAUUUUGUGCUUAUCUGAUUCAUACAUGUGUACCUUUGACUUGGCUUUAGUUAUCUUAAGACACACAAUGGACUUGUACUUGAAAAUGAAGCAAGCCAUUUGAGAACCAGACCAUUUUAAAGACAAAUAGGCAUUUAAGAUUUAUUUUAUCUUUAUUAUUUUCCUCUCCUAAUAUUUCUUUAUUUAUCACUGAUAAAUACCAGGUUGAAAAGAGAAUCAAUUUGAUUUUAACAAUGUAAAAUUGAUGAUGAAUUAGAAGUGUCCAAAAGAGAGUUCUGAAUAAUGUAAAUAGAGCUCAAUGUUCAGUUGGUUCUUGGAAAGUUUUCUCUGCCCGUGCUCAUUUUCUUCAAUGGCGUUUUGUUAGUUUCCUUGUUUGGGGCAAAUAUCCUCUUGCAGUUUUCAGCCCAGAACAGUUAAGCCUUAAAUCCUAGAAAGUGGCUUUGUACAUGUGCUGGAGGUGGGGUGGGGUUACAUGGAAAGCUGAGUGUGUCUGCUUUAGAGAUACAAAUGGGCCUGCUACAAUAAAUCAUUAAAGACGCUCAAACGGAUGUUUAUUGGAAGAAUGCUUACCUCUGUAAGCUGAGGUAGAGGGCUAAAAGGCUGGGGGGCUGGGAUCUCACAUAACUAAUGGGCACACUUUUUACAGACAGAAGGGCCAGGCCGUAGUCCUCGUGGUAAAUCUGCAGUGACAGACGUUUGUUCUAUAUUUGUGAAUGACCUGAUUUGGCAUGCAUGCAGCUCGUUCUACUGACAAUAAUGGUAACAUGGUGUGAGGGAGAGAGAAGAAAGGAGAAGGAUUGGGAGGGGGCUGUUGGUGGAGGGAGGAGAGAAAUCCAGGCAGACAGAAAGGGAGAAGGGGAAGGGAAUAUUAAACAGCUGGAGAGCUGAGCAGUGAAGGGCAGCCCAGAGGAAACCUGCCUUUAGCAUCUGAUUAUUUUAAUUUGGGAGGAAGGUUGCAUUUAUUCCUAAUUGACCGGAGAGGAUCGGCUUUCCUUCCUCCCUGCUCCCCCUCCCACUCCCCUCCCCAGCAGUCUCUGGGAAGGUGUGCAGAGCAGCUGUCAGACCACAGAAACCGGAUUCCUCUGCAUCAAGGAAGCCCUUGUUAUUUGCAAAAUUUGAUUAGCUCUUUACCUUUAUUAUUGCCCUUCAACCCAUGGGCAUUUCAGGUGAGCAAAGAACUGGCCUGAAAGGAGGAGCAGAGCCAAGGGUAGCCCUUGCUGCCUCUCCUCUCUCCAGCCUUCUCCCUUUCAAAGUGACAGAUAUAAUUGGGGGCAUGAAUAAUUAUGACACCGAAACAGGCCUCCACCAGAGAUGUCGGGUGGUGGGCAGAAUACUGAGUGAAGGGAACAUGAAAGCACUAGGUCAGGACCUGCUUGUUUACCUGCUGUGUGACUGUGGACAAGUCGUGUUCCGUCUCUGAGCCUUCCCAUUUCCUAGUCUGUGAAAUGCAGAUAUUCAAAAGAUGAUCGCAAAGGAGCCAUCGGGGUUGAAAACCAUAGCUCUUGUCACAAGUGCACUGCUAUGCAGGUAAGGAUCCCAGUGCCACUUCCUCAGAGAGGUCAUCCCAGCCUAUCCAAAGGGUGCUUCUGCCCUGUCAUUCUCUACCACAGCGCUUACCACUGUCUGAAACCAUCUGCCUGAUUUCUGUGCAAUUAUUUUAUUAGCCUACUUGGAUGGAAGCUUUGAGCAAGUCACACAGGCUGUCUCAUUCACUGCUUCCUUUUUGGUAAAGGAUGUAUAUUUAGAACUCUUCAGGAGAGCUGAAUGAAUAUGUCCAGCUAUUUUUCUCCAAGAAGUUUUGUCAGUUUGCAAGCGGUAGACAGAGAGUCUCAGGUCACAGGAGCAAAUGGGUAUUUAGGAGAGACAUCCAGGCCAGUAAGAGAUAAGCAGACAAUCUCCUGAGCCCACAGCCAGGUCCUAUUAAGAAAUGAAAAAAACAGUUGAGGCUUUAUCAGAUGACAGCCCCUCAGAUGGUCCAGCACCAACUACGUUCAUUGUUCCCUCAACUGUGAGCAUCCAUUACUCUCCAUUGCAGGGCUCUGCCUUUUCGGUGAGACGGUUUCAUUCUCACCAUUUCCAUUGCUCUGGGCUCUCCAGAAUAACCAGCUUUCUGAGUGUCCUGAGAUCAGACUCCUCCAAAAAGCAUUUGAGUGGUUUACCUAAUCACUGUCCACUGUAGGAGACUUCUUUGGGGGCAAAAUUGCCCUUGAAACCAGCAUAUGGGGUUCUCCAAGAUGGGAUCGCAUUAGAAAUAUCUGAGCAGCUUUUCCAAAAUGCACUUCCUGGGGACUCAUUGAUAGGUAAUAAGUUAGGCUCUCCAUCUGGUGUUGGAUUAGACAUCUGCUAUUUUGAAAAGUCUCCCCAGGUGAUUGUGUUGUGCACUUCUGGACCAUAGCCACUGUCGUCGAUGGCUGUCUUUGGAACAGGUGCUCAUCCUUGGCCCAGUCGUCUGUGACCAGAGAGGUGGAGUCACAGGGACAAAGCACAGGAAGGGAGUGUGGCACACACUCAGAACUCCAUACAGCCUUUCAAAUCCCCGCCCCUCUUUCUCUCUGUCCAUCCUUCCUUCCCACAUCACUUACGUAUUUCUCUUCCAGGUCAGGAUGUAUAGAUGUUGGAGCAGACUCUAAUAGUUCUCUCUUUCCCCUUUAGAAACACUUACAAGGAUUAAAACAAGUUGGCAUGUGAGAGCUCAAAUGCUCUAAAAGCUGGGAGGGAGCAAACGUGUGUACAUUCCAGCUGGGGUUAGGGAAACAGAGCACAUAAACAGGGCACAUAAACCUGGAUUCCAUUUCAAGAUUAGAACCAGCUUCUUAAAAUAAUAAUCCUUUAUUCUGUCAUCCUUCUCAUUCACAGUACCACCAAAGUAGCAGUAUCUAGAAAGGAAUUUGGUCUUUCCUGGGCCACAUAAGGGGCAGUUCACUGAACUACUUAUAAAAUGUAACAGCUGUUCAUUCCCUUUAUUAUAGAAAAAAGAAAGAGCAGGAGGAAGAGGAGGAGGAGGAGGAGGAGGAAUACAACACUAAAUAGAGACCAAUUCCCAUGGCUGACAGAAGAUCCUUGGGAGAGGAUGGGUUAGCAGGAGUGAGGAAAGCCAGGUAGUAAUGGGUGGUACUUUAUCCACCAUAAUGUUUACUGAGCUCCAAUUUGUUUAGUGUAUAGUAGAAAUAGAAGAUGAAGCCCUUGGCUUCCCUGAGCUGACAAUCCAAUAGGGGAGACCCAUGAAAGGGUCUAUAAUAUUAAGUAACAUGGUAUAUAUAAGGAGCUCAGUAAGUCUCGAAUCUACUGUAUAAUCUCAACAGAUGCUAAAUUAAACAAUAGCUGAAUGUGUUUGCUUGCUUGCAUUCCAACUUCCUUCUCCCUUACCUACCUCCACUUGAUUUCCCAGGCUCCUUUGUAGCAGGGGUGGCCACAUGACACAGGAGAAGUCUACUGAAAUUGUUUCUACCUCUUUGUACCUGGUUGAAUAGUGUCCCCAAACAAUUCAUGUACACCCAUAAAUGUGGCAUUAUUUGAAAAUAGAGUCUUUGCAUAUAUAAUAAAGAUGAAGUUCUAUGGGAGGAAGAUAGACCCUUGACCUGAUAUGACUGGUGUUCUUGAAAGAAAAAGAUGACGCAUCUAUAAGCCAAGGAAUGCCAAGGGUUGCUGGCAGCCACUGGAAACUAGAAGGAGCAAAGAAGGAUUCUCUUCCAGAGCACUCAGAGGGAGCAUGGUCCUAUCCACACCUUGAGUUAAACCUCUGGCCUCUAGAAUUAUGAAAGAAUAGAUCUCUAGUGUUUAAAGCAACCUAGUUUGUGGUAUUUUUGUCAUGGCAGCCCUAGGAAACUAAACUCUUUCUUCUGCUCUUCUUCUUAGAGUGAAGAGAGGAUGCCUUGAGGGACAUCACACAUCUUAGGAAUAUGAGAACAGAAGCUGUAUAAGUAAAUAUGGUAGACCAGAAAGACAAUAGGAGACUGUUUCAUUGUGACAAUUUCCCAGAUAAAUAAAUUUCCCAUUCAUUUAUCUCAAUAAAUAAAUCCCUAAGUGUUUCAGUCAUUUCACUUAGGUUUUCUGGUACAGAUGACACACCCCUAACUAAUGCUCUAUAGCCAAAUAGAAUGAUGCAGGAGUUAACGGAGUUCAUGUCCCAGCCAUGUGGACAUGUAGAUGUGUGGCCCCUAGGAAGUCAUGAAAGCAUCUUUGAUGCCAUUUAGUUCCUCUUUAAAAUAGAAAUAGUACUGUCAAGCUGAGUUUUAAAUGAGAUAUUUUAUGAGAAAGCCGGGGGUUGUCAAUCAGGCAGGGAGAACCCAUACAAAUUACCAGGGCUGCCAUCUCAGGGGGCCUAGAUCCUGUCUGGGUUGCGUAGUAAUACAAAUGCUGAAUGGAGACCAUUUCCCCACCACUGUCCUUAUUGGGAAAGCCCCUAAUAAAUUUUUUAAACAGGAAGCAGCUAUCAGAAGCCUUGGUAAAAAUAUUUUAUAAAGGACCAUACUAAUAUUGGGGAAUAUUAAAGUACCAGUUAAAUAACUCCAUUGUACAACUUACAAAAGCAGUCACUGGGAUGAAGGGCUCUCAAUGUUCUCAUUAAAUGGAAGGGAGAAGGGAGGAUUUUCUCAGUUCCUUCUGAAACAGUUCUAUCCCACAAACUUCCCAAGCCAUCCCUUUCUGUCUUGCCUAUCCCUGGACCCUUCCUUUGUCUCUGAGCAAAUGCAAGACAAAAGUAGUCAGGAGGCUGCAGAAAGAGAACACUGUAAGCCCUUCCUAGAGUGAAGCAGGCCUUGAUGCAGUGAAGGGAUAAACCUCAGGGUAGACCCCAGAAGAAUGCCACUGACGCCCUGGAAGUCCGAGGUGCCACAUGGAUACAUCUUUCACCCACUCCCCACUUGGCAGGGGGCCUCUCCUUGUGCAAGCCAAGUUUUCCAAAGGCUGGAGGGUGCUUCCCAAAGUCUAGUGCCUCAAGAUACAGGUCUUAGCCAGAUUCAGGGGUGCACAUUUGUAAUCCCAGCUACUCAGGAGGCUGAGGCAGGAGGAUUGCAAGUUCAAGACCAACCUGAGCAACUUAGCAAGACCUCAUCUCAAAAUAAAAGUAAAAGGACUAGCUAGCAUGCACCAUGUCCUGAGUUCAAUUCCCAGCAUCUCCUCCAAAAAGAUACAGGCCUCAGCUUGGCUGGGUGUCUCAGUUCCAGAAAUUUUCAGUUUCUCUCAGAAUUCAACUCAAAUCACCUGCUUGUAGAUUUGAGCUAACAUAGGCAGCCCCUAGUCCCUCUUUCCUGUACCUUCCACCCAUUCUCACCCUCUCACCACGUUAGAGCUAAGUGAAUAUGGUUUUCCAAAUAUAGUUUUGCUGCCAGUGUGUUAGGCCUUCUAAUGAGCCACAGUAAUUGCUUCUCUAUUUUCCAAAAUGAAAAUGAACCUCCGAAGAGCAGCUGGUUCACUGUAAUGUUCUCUUCCCUCCAAUUACAUACUGCAUUCCUCCAAGUCAGUCAAACGCCGGCCUUGACUGCUUCAUCUGUGAGCAGGGCCCGUGGGAGAGGCUGGAGGAAUGUGCUGAUGUCAAGGAAACAGGCCUGGAGCCUUGAAUACUUGGGUAUAUUUAAGGGAACAGGGAAGAAAGAGAAGUAGGAGGAGGAAGAUGGGAAAGAUCUGGUUUUACUUUUGAAUUCUAAGAUGUCCUAGCUUGGGUUGUGCUUUUCAGUGUAUCUGAAAGGAUAACUGAAACUUUAGACAACAGAGCAAAAAUGUCUCUGUCUUCCUCUCUUUUUCAAGAAUCAUGACAAAGCAAUAAAGAAAAGAAUCAAUAACAUAAACCCCAUAGUCUACAGGGGCAGGACACAUCUGUAAUCUGGAGCCCCCAGUGUAUGAAGAUGAGAAAAAUUGAUGAGCCACUUCAUAGAUCUACGAAAAGUCCAGCCCAAGAGGCAGAGGGUAGAAUCAAGUGAAUCAAGCCAUUCUCCCUGGAGAAUAUAGAGGAGUCUAGGGAGUUGGGAAACCAACAUUCUGCAUUAGUCAGAAAUCAGCACAGCACGGAAAAUAACUUCUGUGGUAUUAAGAUAACAAUACCAGGUACCACUUCUGGAGCACCUCAUGGUGCCUGGUCCUUUACAAACAUUCUCUCAUGCAAUGCUCCUAAGAGCAAAACACAUUAUUUUCCAAUUUUAUAGAUGCAAAAACCGAGGCUUAGAGGAACAGUCAUUUGUCCCAGAUGUCAGAGAGUAAGACACUGAACCACACAUUCUUUUUUUUUUCUUCUUAAUAGUACUAGGGAUUGAACUCAGAGACCUCACAUUGAGCUAUACUCCUAGUUCUUUUUAUUUUUUAUGUUGAGACAUGAUCUUGUUAAGAUGCUCACACAGAACUUAAGCUUGCGAUCCUGCUUCCUCAGCCUCCCAAGUAUGGAAGUACAGGUUUACACCACCACUCCCAACAUACACCAAACUAUUCUUAAUUUCAAAGUCCUACCAUGAGCCCCCACCACUUCCUCAGGUCAAUUGGAGCAUGUGAGUCACUUGUACCUAUGUACAGGUGUGGAGCCAGGUUAACAUGAUUGGCAUGGGUUAGUCAGGGGCACUGUUGUCUGGGCUCCUGCUUCACUGUCUGCUCAGCCAUUUUCUCAAGCUGGACUGUGCUUUGGAAAUGUUACAGAAACAAGCAUCACCACCUCCCUCUUGUCACUUUCUGUUGGAGCCCUCCUGCUGGAAUGAGGUACUCCCAAAAGUGGAUCCUUUCAGCUCUGAGGUAGGUGCAGGUCUCUAGAGACUAAGAUUCCAGCAAAUAUACUGGCCAGCAUCCAAGAGGGAAGAAGGUUGAAACAGUUUGGAUUUUAAAUAUCCUCCAAAGACUCAUUCAAGUUCUGCUCACUUGUCUGUGGUGCUACUGAGAAGCAGGAAAUCUUUAGGGGGUGGGGCCUCAUGGGAGGAAGUUAGGUCAUUGGUGUUGUGCCUUUGAAUAGAAUGUUGAGACUCUGGUCUCUUCCUCUCUCUCUCUCUCUGCUUACCAGCCACCAUGAGAUUACCAGAUCUCCUCCACCACAUGCUUCUGUGAUGUGCUGCCCUACCACAGACCCAGAGGAUCAUGGACUGAAAGCUCUGAAACCAUGAGUGAAAAGAAACCAUUCCUCCCUUAAGUUGAUUAUGUCAGGUAUUUUGUCAGAGCAAUGAAGAGCUAAUGCAGAGGAUGUCAAGGAAACUGCUCCUCCCUUCCUACACUCUCCUGUUUGUUACUGCCCAGCACCUGUGCUGUAACAUCCAAAGCAGGCUAUAGAACCCACAACUGUCCAGAUCCCCUCACUGGAGCCACAAAAGUCUGAAUGAAUCUGAGUCACAAAGAACCACAUCCAUUUGAUAUGCAGGUUCAGAAGUGUAAAAUAAAGUGUGCAGUGUCUGUUUGCUAGCCCCUUUCUGAUUUCUGACUUUUUGUUCAAAGAUCAAUCAUAAGAUCCAUGAGAGUCCAUGAAUAAGUGGCUGGCCACUCUGUUAGGCAUGUUGGAGAUCAAGCGUAUUGUGUCUGCCCUCAAGAAUCCAUAACCAGUCAGAGCACUCUGGCAACCACAUCUGAAAAGAGAAGGAAAGACCCCAGGCUGUGUGCAAUUAAGAGCCACUGGAAAGGUGUUCUGAGAUGUACCAUAGUUGUCCUCAGUGAUCUCCCUAAUGCUUCCACUAAGUUGUGAAUUCUUUAAAGGUUUUUGUUUUUUUUAUUUUUGGACUUCAGUGCAUAGCAGUGAGAGGGGCAUGUGCCAACUGCUCAUAAGCAUCUUUUGAAUGAAUGAAUGAGUGAGGGGACAAAUGAACAAGUGAAGGAAUGAAUAUGUUCCAAGGAAGGAAUACUGCAGAGAGCAGAGAGCUGGAGUGGUGAGGUAGUGCAUCCAGGAGGAAACAGGACUACAGCCAAACAGGGAGUUGUCAUCCAGUGACUCUGUAGACCUGAAAGAAUCUUCCAAAGGUCAAGAUGGUCUCUAGAAAGGGACUAACCUGGGACUGAGCAUGGAAGUCAGGAAGUCGGGCUUGUGAUAAACUUUGGUGAGACGGAUGGAGAUGAAUGGAUGUCAUGGGAACACCCAGCUAAGCCAUUCCAGGAGAGACUAAGCAGAGCAGUGAUGACCGUGAUUGUUAAUGUGAAACAGAAAACAGGAGAAAAAACAAGACUCUAUGUUAAAGAUGGAGCGGGAAUCAUGGCUUCUGACUAAAGGAGAACAACAAGUAGGAUGACAACGGCAACAACAACAACAACACAAGAUUUAAGUGAGCUAUCAAAGAGAAAGAGACCGCCAGCAAAAGGCUGCCACACAAAGGAAAAGGAAAUCCACAGUGCUGGGAGACACCGAAGGGACCAGGGGAUGUGCACACCAGUGUUUGUAUCUUCUCUCUGUGUGUACACAGUCCAUGAGAGUAAAUUAUUGUCAUGGGUAAGGGUUUAACAUUCUUGACCUAUACUAUGGCUUAAAAAAAAAAAGUAUGCAACAUGACUGGAAUGCCAAUUUGAAGUGGAGAAGCAUUUAGGGAGAAUGAAUAGACUGUGCUUCAGAAGUAUUUUCAUGGAAGGGAAUGAGCCUCUUUAAUUUGUUCUCUGCAGAGGCUUUGAGAGAGCUAACAUUGUAACCUGCUAAGUCAGGCACCAUGUGCAUAAUAAUGCAGAGAUGAUGGCUUAAGAGUUACUGUGCUACUAGGUUUUGGUGUUAAGGCAGCAGUAAUUGUUGCAAAAGUCACUGAUAAUUUUGGUUAGCAAGUGAUACAAAUGGAACUGGUCGGGUAUGCUGUUCUUUGGGACCCUCCCUCACCCACAGCCUCUGAACUCUGCAAAUCCUGAUGCAGUGUCCUUUAGUCCCCUUUCAUUACCUACAUAGCUGGUGCAUGCAGUUGGGAAGUGUGGUGGCGGGGCCCAUUCCAAAGGAGUCCACUGCCUCACAGUCCCUGGUGCUGGAGGAGCAAAGCCAUUGCUUUCAUUCAGCUGGAAGAGAAUGAAACCCACAUUCUAUGCUGUUGUCUCACUGCAAGCCAGGCCUUCAAUUGGAAUGUUGGUGUCAAUAUUUAAAGAGGUGUGCCAUGACAGCUUAGAAGUGAGGCGUCCUGAGGGCAGAGGUGACUUCACCUCCGGGUUAAUCCUGCUUUGGAAUUGUUUUCUGUGCUUUUACUGCCCCUGGUUCCUAGGAAACAUGGUUGCUGUUUGUGGAGUGGCAAAUAGGGCUACGCUUAGAUUCUGGACUGGCAGUUAACAUUUUGCAUUAAUCCCAUGCUUUAUCCAUCAAUCCCCCUUUUUCCCUCCACCUUCUUGCCCUCUGAUGAACAUUAACAAUGUUGGCACCUAACCACACUUCUCAUUCGGCUUCCGCUGACUUCUGUCCUGUGAGGUGCACAGAAAUAAAAAUGUCAGUUUGUCAGUCCCUUUUAUGCUUACAAAGUGUUCCUAGUGUGAAGACCCAACCAUGAGCCGAUCAUCUUCACCCUCGAGCAAAUCCAUGUAACAAACAUUUAUUGAGCCAUGUGAUGCAACAUGGAAGCAAUUCAAGGUAACAAACAUUUAUUGACCCUCUGAUUGUAAUUGAUCCAAGGUCCUGAGUCAUUAACAAAAUUGUUUUUGUGACUUUCAUGAGGAUGUCAAGGUGAUUCUUGCAGUUAGCAUGUGGGCAUGUGAUUAUAUCUGUCCAUGGUGGGGAG
rnacentral:lncRNA from 1 species